AUCCCCUCCUCCAUCAUCGACAUCUUUCUUUCUUCUUCCUGUUCCCUCCUCCCCUUCUUUCUCACUCAUUUCUCCUCCUCCAUGAUGACUUCCUCUACCUUUUCCUCUUCCUUGCCGAUGACCCCUCUUUUCCCUCCUUCCCUUCAUUCUUAUCCACUUCUUCUUCUCAUCCUCCUUCUCUUCCUCCAAACUCAUGCAUGCGUAGCCCUUCUCCUCCAUGAUAACUUCUUCUACCUCCAACCAUUCUUCGUCAGUCAUCCCUUCAACCCCCUUCUUCUCUUCCUCCUCGUCCAUUUCUCUUCCUCAACCUUCUCUUCGUUUAAGCCAUCCAUAAGCCAUCCCCCUCG
rnacentral:lncRNA from 1 species